rnacentral:rRNA from 1 species
AUACGGAGGGUGCAAGCGUUACUCGGAAUCACUGGGCGUAAAGGGCGCGCAGGCGGUUUGGUAAGUCAGAUGUGAAAGCCCACGGCUCAACCGUGGAAGUGCAUUUGAAACUGUCAGACUUGAGUACUAGAGGGGAAAGUGGAAUUCCCGGUGUAGAGGUGAAAUUCGUAGAUAUCGGGAGGAAUACCGGUGGCGAAGGCGACUUUCUGGCUAGAUACUGAAGCUGAGGCGCGAAAGCGUGGGGAGCAAACAGGAUUAGAUACCCCGGUAGUCC